rnacentral:lncRNA from 1 species
ACAAGAUAUCCACAGUGACUAACAUAUUUAUUUGCAUGCUCACCAAGUGGUCUGCCUGUAGCUAUCUCAAACUCAGAGAUUACAUAGCGGCCCUCCAACGGCUUCUUUGGCCCUCGUGGAGGUACGCUUCUCCGUCGAUCCAGAAGGCUACACGUAGAUAUAGAAACAAAAAUACUAAAUUAAUAACCAAGUAAUAAGUCUAAAACCUAAUAUAAGAGAUGCCUUAAUUAUAUAUGUUUACAUUUACAUACCUCACCAGUAUUUUCUUCAUGUUGCACGAUAAGUUGUUGCUCAGGGGCAUUGCCCUCUUGUUGCUUAGUAUGAUUGCCUUGCAUGAUCUCGUGGUAAUCAACAAAGUACUGACUACCGUCGUCGAUCAUAUUUUGAAUGGCAUCUUCCAUAUAAUCAGGAUCAUCAUGAGGACGGUCAGCCAUUUCUAUGUCUGCAACCAUACAUAUAUAUAUAUUUUAUAUAAGAUAAGAAAUACACUAGAAUAAUAUAAGUGCUAGAGUGCUCCAAACUAAAAAGUAAUACUAAAAAAAUAAUACGGACAAUAACACUAGAAUAAUAUACUAGCACACAAUAUAUUUCAUAACAAUUCAAAACACUACAAUUCAUAAUAUACUAGAAUAACAUACUAAAAAGUCUUUUAAGCCAAGUAAUAUACUAAAAAAUAAUAGUAAAAAAACAAUACGAACAAUAACACUAGAAUAAUAUGCUAGCACAAUAUAUUUCAUAACAAUUCAAAACACUACAAUUCAUAAUAUACUAGAAUAAUAUACUAAAAAGUCUUUUAAGCCAAGUAAUAUACUAAAAUAAUAUACUAAAAAAUAAUACU